rnacentral:lncRNA from 1 species
CACCAAACUCAGUUAAUUCUUCCAAUAGCCAUAUGGCAAAGGUACCCUUAGAAAUAACAUCUAAUUUGAAUCCUAGAGCUGAAAUUUUCCAUCCAUCAAUGAUUGAUUUAGAUAAUACAAAAUUCACUGAAAAUGAAGCUGACAUUACAUUUGAAAACAAUAAUCCUAUUCAAAGUAAUAAAGUAAUGGAGGUGACAUGACAGUUAAAUUUGAAAGGAAGAAUGGAAUGGAAGUCUUAGUAACUGAAAGAACAAUCAAGGAUUCAAAUGGCAGACUUGAAGCCAACAUUCUAAGUGGCAGAGGGGAAUCUGGCCAAAUAAAUUCAAUGAGGUUCAAUAGCAUAGCUCUGUGACUUUGCAACUCUAUCCAGCUCCACUGACAGAUUGGCUUCACAUAUAUGCAAGAAUGAAGCUCAUAAGUGAGACACGUCAUGGACAAAUUACAUCUGUGUCCAGAGCAGACACACACAUGAAAAGCCCACUCUGUGAUCCAGUUUACAGCUAUCUUGUGAAAGAAUCGAGAGGGCACUCUGUAGAUUUCAACCUUAAGGAGUCAGAGAAGUGGAGUGGAGUGCUUGGAGAGGGGAGUGAAUAG